UACGGGGGGGGCGAGCGUUGUUCGGAAUUACUGGGCGUAAAGGGUGCGUAGGCGGUGCUCUAAGUCGGAUGUGAAAACUCUGGGCUCAACCCAGAGACUGCAUCCGAAACUGGAGUGCUAGAGUUCUGGAGGGGGUAGCGGAAUUCCUGGUGUAGCGGUGAAAUGCGUAGAUAUCAGGAGGAACACCGGUGGCGAAGGCGGCUACCUGGACAGAAACUGACGCUGAGGCACGAAAGCUAGGGGAGCAAACAGG
rnacentral:rRNA from 1 species